GGUUAAGCGACUAAGCGUACACGGUGGAUGCCUAGGCAAUCAGAGGCGAUGAAGGACGUGCUAAUCUGCGAAAAGCGUCGGUAAGGUGAUAUGAACCGUUAUAACCGACGAUAUCCGAAUGGGGAAACCCAGUGCAAUUCGUUGCACUAUCGUUUGAUGAAUACAUAGUCAAACGAGGCGAACCGAGGGAACUGAAACAUCUCAGUACCUCGAGGAAAAGAAAUCAACCGAGAUUCCCCUAGUAGCGGCGAGCGAACGGGGAGCAGCCCAGAGUCUUAAUCAGCAUUAGCAUCAGGAGAACAGUCUGGAAAGGCUGGCAGUAAAGGGUGAU
rnacentral:rRNA from 1 species